rnacentral:tRNA from 1 species
AGAAGACUAGUUUAACAAACAUGAAGUUUCGGCCUUCAAAUUCUUAGCCAAAAUCUAAGGUCUUCCA